rnacentral:rRNA from 1 species
UACGUAGGUGGCAAGCGUUGUCCGGAUUUAUUGGGUUUAAAGGGUGCGUAGGCGGCCUUAUAAGUCAGUGCUGAAAUAUCCCGGCUUAACCGGGAGGGUGGCAUUGAUACUGUAGGGCUUGAGUGUAGUCGAGGUAGGCGGAAUUGACGGUGUAGCGGUGAAAUGCUUAGAUAUCGUCAAGAACACCAAUAGUGUAGACAGCUUACUAGGAUACAACUGACGCUGAGGCACGAAAGUGUGGGGAUCAAACAGG